rnacentral:rRNA from 1 species
ACGGAAGGCAGCAGUCGGGAAUAUUGCGCAAUGGAGGAAACUCUGACGCAGUGACGCCGCGUAUAGGAAGAAGGUUUUAGGAUUGUAAACUAUUUUGGACAGGGAAGAAAGAAGACAGUACCUGUAGAAUAAACUCCGGCUAACUACGUGCCAGCAGCCGCGGGAAUACGUAGGGAGCAAGCGUUAUCCGGAAUUAUUGGGUGUAAAGGGUGCGUAGACGGGAAUACAAGUUAGUUGUGAAAGCCCUCGGCUCAACUGAGGAACUGCAGCUAAAACUAUAUUUCUUGAGUGCAGGAGAGGAAAGCGGAAUUCCUAGUGUAGCGGUGAAAUGCGUAGAUAUUAGGAGGAACACCAGUGGCGAAGGCGGCUUUCUGGACUGUAACUGACGUUGAGGCACGAAAGUGUGGGGAGCAAACAGGAUUAGAUACCCUGGUA